UAUCUGAAGGGAAAUAAGCAAAUCAUACAUUCUUAUUAAUAAAUGCAAAUUUAUAUGCAAUGAAAAUGUAACCAACUCUAUAUUUAUGGCAUUUGUACUGUCCUAUAUGUACAUUAAACUCUGAUAAGCUAAAAUAGAAAACAGUGCUAAUGUCUGGCCUCCUAACCCAUCACAAGCUGUUGUAGCCCCAGCCCCAUGGCAAACCCUGCUAAUGAAUUAAUCCCCGGUCUUGUACCACUCCUCUAGUGGUACCUACGACAGUGUCCAGAGACAUGCAGAUGAGACGGUACUUCUUACUUCCUUCAUAAAAGAUUGCUCAGUACCAUUUGUUGCUGGGCACCAUGGCUGGUAAGUACUUUGUGCAUGUGUAGCAGGGAACAAAACAGUUAAGCACUUUAUAGCUGUCAGCUGUCAGCUGCAGUCAAGCACUUCUGUCCUAGCAAGCCCCUUGAGCCAUUUAGCUACACCAUCAGAAGCAGAGCAUCCUCUAGAAGGACGGAAGGCAGGCUAGAUGAAGGUGAAAAGGCUGAUCUUCAUUAGAGUUCCUCUCACUUUUUCAACUUUUAAAUUUUUGGCUCUUUUGAGGGUGGGCAGAGCUAGGUUAAGAAUACUGUGUCUGGCUGGGAGUGGUGGCGCACGCCUUUAAUCCCAGCACUUGGGAGGCAGAGGCAGGCGGAUUUCUGAGUUUGAGGCCAGCCUGGUCUACAGAGUGAGUUCCAGAACAGCCAGAGCUACACAGAGAAACCCUGUCUCGAAACAAACAAACAAACAAAAACAAAAAAACAAAAAAAAAAAUUAAAAUAAAAAUAUAUAUUGUGUCUGAGGGAAGAGGGGGCCCAAGAGAGAGGAUUUUGAGAGGGGCAGAUUAGAGGCUAGCAUGAAAAGGGUAGAGCUCCAUUGUAGACAGGGCUGAUGGAUUUUAGAAAUGGUCAUAUCUGAAAGGUAUUUCCUGUUUGAUGCCAGAAUUUCAUUUAUUAACCCGUAGAAAAGCUUUACUUCAAAGUGUCUCUGUGAUACAAGUUCAACAAGUCUGGAGCAACAGCAGACAUGUAAGGAAGAGAGUAGGAACAUGUAAGAACACCGAGAGGACGAAGCCUGCCAUCCAGAUGCACGGGACAGCCUUCAGAUGGCUUCUAUUCCUAGAAAAGGGAAGGUAAAUGACGUCCAAUGCCAAUAAGCAGCUGAACUCAGCACCCCGGGAGGCAUCAGCACUACACCAGAAGCCUAUCCCACAGAGUCACAGUCUGCUCUAGAAUCUCCAUUUAAAAUUUAUUUCAUUUUUAUUUUAAAUUAAAUUGUGAACGUGCAUCUGUGUGGAGAUAUGAGUAUGUGUAUGCAGUUACCUAUGAAGGCCAGAAAGGGUCUCAGAUCCCCUUGAGUGGGUUGUGAGCCACCCAUGGUGGGUUCUGGGAACUGAACUCAGGUCUCUUCAAGAGCAGUACACUCAAAUGCUUAGCCAUGGCUUCAGCCCCUAGCAUCUCCAUUUCAAAGCAGUCUUUUAUGUGAUUAUGAUGCAAACCACAGCAUAUAGCAUAAAUACUCUUUAAUCACUGUUUACAUGGUAACUAUCUUUUAAUGACGUUUAAUUGUUAUUACUCUCUUCUUUACAUAUACACCCACACACUUUUAAAAAAAUGUUGAGGCAUCAUUUGAAUUUUAGUAAAGACAAUUCAUUCACUUUCUGGCAUUGGUAAACAGGAAUUGAUGGCACAAACUACAACUCCCAGGAGUCUAGACACGAAGGGAAGAAGAUCCAGAUCUAAAGCCCUGCCUAGAUCACAGAAUACUGGUCUGUUAAAAGGUGAAGAGAGAGUGGGAGAAGGGAAGGAAAUAAAGAAAGAGACGUCUAAGAGAAUUUAGUGUGAAAACACAGAUGAACAAAGCUCUGUGAAGUGUUAUUGGUAUCUUUUGGAAGGAAGAACAGAGAGUAAGAACCUAAGAAAGGGAGAGGUAAAAAUGUACCCUUCUGGUAGAAUUUUCACUGUAGACAAGCCACAACAUUAUAUAGCAGCCAUUUCAUACUUUCUUACCCAGUUUUGUUGUGUGGGCAUGCGCACACUCAUGUGUGUGCGUGUGUGUAUACAUGUGAGUGUCCUGGCCUGGACGAAUGUGGAAGGCAGAAGUGGGCAUCAGGGUGUCUUCUUCAAUCACUCCUCUACCUCACUGUUAUUUGUAAUCUGCCACGUAUAUCUCCACCAGGCUGCAACUUUGGGCUUCUCCUUGUCUCCCCCCCAGCACUGAGGUUAUAAACAUGGCCACAGCUGGCUUUCUCUGUGUACUCAGGGUCUUAACCCAGGGCCUCAUGCUCAUACAGCAAACACUUCCAGUGAACCACCUUCCAGUCCCUCAUGCUGUUUUUUUUGUUGUUUUAAACUUCUUAAUAGUUCUGGAAGAAUGUGACAUAAAUAUGUUCAUAGCUGAGUCCUUACUCUGACAAUACAACCUGUGAUACAAUCAAAUGACAACUAUACCUGUGAUCACAGCAAAGUUAAUUUUUUUUCUGUUUUUAAAAAGGCAGGUUUAGCCUGGAACUCUACACCAGCCUGACCUCAAACUCAGAGAAAUAUGUAUGCCUCUGCCACCUGAGUGCUGGUAUUAAAGCAAUACACACCACAGCAGGCACCAGAGUUCAUUCUUUUAGUUCUGCUUCAGCCAAGAAACAGGUUAUACUCCAUUGAUAUACUUCUGAUUUCUAGUUACAAAAUUGGGGAUGUUAUUCCACUAUAACAUUUAUGAUCAACAUUUCAAACAAAAGCUUACUACUGUCAAAAGAAUACAAACACUUUCUAACGCUGGUCUGAGAGCUCAGGAGCUCUAUCAUGUAUAGUCACCUCUAUCUCCACCCUCCCUUCCUCUAGAGAACCAGAGCCUUGGGAGAACUACUGAGAUAGCUCCCAGAGACGGUGUUUACCUGAUCCCUGUUGUUGAUGUUUGAAUAAGGUAGCUGGCCGGUCAUCAGUUCGUACAGAACAAUCCCAAACGCAUACACGUCUGACUGAAAGCUAUACGGGUUUUUAUCUUGCAUUCUGAUUACUUCUGGUGCCUGUAAAAAUAUAAGAAAAAAAUCUAGUUUAAUUUCAGCUGAAUAAAGACUGAAAUAAAAACAUUCAUUCACAGAGUAACACCUUACUUACAGAAAUCAUCUACUAAUGGUCAAAGAUAUAAAUCCAACUAGGAUAAAGGGGAAACCCCGUUUUAUAUAUUCUGAAAGAGUUGAGAUUUCAUGAUGCAUUAUUAAGGUUUUAUAAUUUUAUCAGUAACCCUCUUUCUGAACAAACAUCUACACUGGCAUGUGGCCAUUUCUCAAGAAUGAAUCUCUACUUCUUAGUCUUAAUUGGCAAAGAAAUACUAGACUUGCACUUAUAAAAAUCUUGGAAGUAGGUACAAGGAAUAAGUUUUGUCACUGGUAAAAAAGAUUUUCCUCAACUCAGGGAAUGUUAAUAGUGGUAGAAUUUAGAGGCUGAAAAAUUCAAGUAUCCUUCCAAGUUACACCAUAAAUGUUUAGUAUUAAAAAAUGCUUUAUUAACAAAGGUAAGAUAUAACAGGUUGACUCAUUAAAUUUUUAGUUGCUGCUUCUAGGGCAAACAAAGAUCAAAUCAUAUCUACCAAAUUUUCACAUAAUUUAGUCACUCUGCUGUACAACUCGGUUUCUUAUUUAUAUGAAGUACAAAGAAUGACUGGUGAAGAACUAGGGUUUAUUCCUUUGCUUUGCGUCUCUUACACUGUGUUGUUAGGAAGGAAUUGAAGAAGUGGCAAAGGGUAUUAGUGAAACUUGGCAAAUUUAGCAGGAAGACCACGUUCUUGUUCUUGGCAAGGAAGUAUCUCUCCUGAGGAAUAACAGGACUCAACUAGAUCUGCAAGUCAGAACUGCCUGUGGAGCCGACUCAGUGCUGACUAUACUCCAGUCUGAUACAGAACAUCUGAGUCUACAAGUGGGACCCAUAUAUUCUAUGCAGAGCUCUACACAUGAUUCUGCUGUCUGCCCAAAGUUAAGAAACACUGAUGGAAGACCUGUGGGAAAUCCGAAGAGAUGAAAAGGACAGCAGUGGAGGAGGAAAAUGUCUUCUCCACUUGUUUUUCUUAUGAAUUUUGUUGGCAGGUGUUAUUUUAGUGAUAUGCUAUAAAACAAACCACUCACAACCAUGAUAAGAUAAACAAGUAAUUUUUUUGGAGGGGAUAGAAUUUAGAUCAGUUGAAGAACUGUCUUUUAAAAUUUAGUUUGCUUUCACUGCUGAUAGAUGGCUAGACAGUUGCAUGCCAUCUACUUAAAUGUGUGCCAGAUGAUCAAUUUGUUAAUUUAUUAAAAUUGUCACAUAAAUGUAUUUCUCUUUUAAGAUAUAAAUGAAAGUAGAAAAGACUACUGUAAAUAAUUCAGAGAGCCACAUAAACUGGUUUAUGACCAAAUUA